GUCUACGGCCAUGCUACCCUGAACAAGCCUGAUCCCGUCUGAUCUCAGAAGCUAAGCAGGGUUGGGCCUGGUUAGUACUUGGAUGGGAGACCACCUAGGAGACCAGGUGCUGUAGGCA
rnacentral:rRNA from 1 species